GGGCCCUUAGCUCAGUUUGGCAGAGCGCCGCCUUUGCACGGCGGAGGUCGCCGGUUCGAUUCCGGCAGGGUCCA
rnacentral:tRNA from 1 species